GGGAGAAGAAAAUGAGCGGGCCAGUUGGGGACCGGGAGGAAUGGGAUUGGGGCGGGUAGGAGAAGGAGAGGGCAGGGAGGAGAAGGACCACGCAGACGCCAAGCGGCCCCGGGGCGGUCUGCCCGCUGCGCGCUGGUCUGGCCCCGGGCAUCGGAGCCGGCGUUUUCACCUCGAGUGUCCCGACGGGGCUGCGGGCGGAGCCCUGAGUGGCGCCCGGCUCAGGCAGACGCGGAAGAGCCCACGGAGGCAAGGCCUUCCCGCCUAUCCUCUGGCAGCCUCGGAGAGCCCGGCACUCGCACGGCUGGCGUAUGGCCCCGGGCAACUCCUGCGCGCUGCAGGACCGCCUGGGCCAUCCUCACCACCCCAGGUUCCCGGCGCAUCCAGGCCGCGCCUCCCCUCGCCGCGCCUCCCGGGCCCGAGGGCCAGGCUACGUCACUGCGGCUCUGACGCGCGCUAAUGGAGGCACGGGCGGAGGCGGCGGGGCGCGGGCUUCCUCCCGGGAGGUCCCGGUCCUUGCAGCCCGCCGCCGCGUCCUUGGCCCUCCUCCAGGGGAACCUCGAUUUUCCAAAUUCGGGAAGGCUGGCUGUCCUUCGACUACUGAUAAGGACGCGAGCGCUUGGUAAAAGAUUUUAACAAUGCCCGGAAAGAAAUAGCCGGACCCGAAAAAGAGACUAAUAAUAGCCGCCAGCUAGAGCUCUGCUCGUGUGAUCAGCGCCCUUAAGAACAAUAAUGACGACAACAACCAUAAUAGCUACCAUUUAUUGAGCGCUUACUCUGUGCCAGGCACUGUGUUAAGCGCUUUGCAGGCAACAACCCUCGGAGAACCCGCGGUCUUGGCCAUAGGCGAUGCCACUUCCAAACCACUUCCGAGAGCCCAGCAGGCUUUGGCCCCUGGUCCCAAGAGGCGCAGCAGCCCCUGAUGGGUUUUGCUCUGAGGUGUGGAUAUCAUUCCCACUUGAUGGAUGACGUCAGGAAACUGGGGGAUUUUCCUGUCCUCUGGGUCUGUCACUCCUGUCAGAUCCCUUACUUUUCCAGAUGUUUGGUCUGCAAAUUCCGUCAAGGAAAACACUGGAUUAAACAAACGACAGUGACUGUCUGGCAACGGACGCAUUGGAUAAUGCUUACCAGUCUCUCAGGUCAUUUUUUUUUUAUUAUUAUUACUGAAUCUUGGGAUCAAGUGAUUCAUAAUAAUGAGGGGAAGAAAGAACUCUGGGCUUGUUUUAGCUCUCAGGAUUAUUCAAUUGGAAGAGACUUUCACCCUUCACACCCCCCAAAAAAAGACAAAAUGCUUAAGGUAAAUUGCCAGUUUUUGUCUAUCUGGAAAAUCCAUUACUACUGAAUGAUGUUGGACUUGACCCAUUCCAAAACAAUAAAAAGAGGACUGAACGUCAAGAUUCAGAUUUUGUCCCUGAAAAUCCCUUUAGAAAGGGAUUUCCAAAUCAGUCAGUAUUCUUACAAUUCUUGACUUUCUCACCCCCAAGACUGUCCCAUCCCUUCUAGAUAACAGCAUUAUCUUCUCUCCCUUUGAGGAAGGCAGUGGCCCAGAGGCUAGAAGAAUAAGGGUCAAUAAGGAGGUCAGCUUUUGCGCCGACCUAUUUGAAUGGAGGGAAAUUCUAUGCGCGCCCUCUGGGCAAGAGUCUGUGGUUGUGCAUUCGCUGGCUGUGGUCCAAAAUCUCCCUAACAUGGAAGACUGAAAUAUGCCAAAAGGAAGACCUGUCUGGGAAGGACGUGGGUCCUCCCACCAAGAAGUUAGGGGUGGUCCGAGGGGGCCCCUAACUCAGAGACUGCGUGUGCAGCUGCUGGGUUAAAGAGAUUUGGAAACCGCUGAACAUUCCUGCUGGGAUCUUGCCAAGCCCUGUUGGGAACCGGCUACAGUGCUUGUCUGGGGAAAUUAGUUUUGCACUUUCACAGAGUGUGAAAUUCCUCAGGGGCAUUCUUGUACUCGGGAAGAGAAAUCAAACCCAGCUCAUUCCUUCAGGGUCUUUGCCAUUAAUAAAGCAGACGGAAUCCAGUUCGCUCGGUCCAGCCUGGGGCCUGCGGUGGGUGGGGACAGGAGCCGUAGAGUUUCACCUGUGGCAGAAGCCCUCCCCAAACCCGCGCAAGCCUGAGAUUUUAGGGGAUCCUGUUACCGGCUUGUAAACACCGUGAGUGACAGCCAACGCUCCCCAGCGACCACAGAGGAGCUCAAACCCUUCCUAUCUUCCUAGAAACCCUGGCUGCCCGACCGGCUGCUUGCUGUCUGAUGCAACAGUUUGCAACGCAGUUCUGGGAGUCGAGCCCUGCCGUGGGGCGUCUGGCGCCGAACCGAAGCGCAUGCGCGGGCUGCGGCUCUGCCCCGCCGGGCUGAUGUGGGGGGGGAAGCUUUUCUCCAGAUGUGCUGGAGGCGGGGCCGGGAGGGCGGGGAGACCUUUGGCAGCUCGCGCCUGCGAUCUGAGCUUAAUUAAACUUCUCCCGAGGCAUUGGCUGACUGAUUGACCCAGUGAUCCAAAAAAAAUCAGAGAGGCCCGAGUCGCCCCAAACGCACUGGGAGAACGAAGUUGAGGAGUUGGCUUUUGAUUUCUAGAGCUGGGCCUUUGAAUUCAACUUCCCUUCCCUGAGCCUCCCAAUCUCAGAUGCUGUCGGGGUUCUAAAGCGAAGUCAGGCCUUGCUUGCUUGAGGUUUUAUUUGCAGGAGGGAACCGCAUCACAGAUUGUUUUUCAAAAUUAUCAACUAUUCAGGUAUUGCUUUUACGAUUUUCUCCCAUACCCACAUUCCAUCAAUAUUAUAUUUUUAAUUGACUUUUUUAUUUUAUUAACUUUUUCUAAAUUAACUUUAAAUCGAUUCCCCUUUUUAUGUAUCCUUGCCCUAAGCAAUAUUAGCAAAACCACAGCUUGAAAAUAAAUUCAGAACUAUUAAAAUAUAAAAAAUGUAUAUAUGUUAGCUAAAAUUGUCUUGAAACUCUGGAGGUAAUAAUAACUAACAUAUUGAGUUCUAAGCAUUGAAUCCAUUCUAACUCCUCAUGACCACAUUAGGAGGUGGAUGUUGUCUACAUUUUACAGAAAAGGAAAGUGAGACACAGAGAGGUUAAGUAACUUGCCUUAAAGGAUCACAGAGCCAGCAGAAAACUUUCACCAGCCUGACUCUAAAGCCUGCAUACACUGCUGUCCUAGGCAAGGAGGAUCAAUAGUAGGAUUACCCAAAUCCCAGCCCUUUCUCCAGACCAAGCUUAAAUGUCAGGGCCUGGAUGAGGGCCUCCAGAGAACUGGGCAGGGCAGGGACAUUGGCAUAGGGGGAGUGAGACUCACAGCAACCAGGAUUCAAAUGCCAAUUCUGCUGUCACUGUGUGACCUGAACAUUUUAGUUUCCUUAUCUAUCCAUAAGGAAAUAGUUUCUUCCCAUACCUCCCAUCAGGCCAACUCAGAACUUCUCUCUAAGUCUAGAAGUCUCUCCUCAGGCGGAUCCUUCCUUCCUACCAAGGCUGGAUGGGUGUGGGCCCCUCCAGUAUGUCCACUUGGCUUUUGCUACUUACCUGGAUUAUGGCACUUAAUACCACUGUGUCGUAAUUUCCUGCUUCCCUCACCGAACCUGAAGAUCCUUGAGCACAGAGCCUCAACCUUGCUCACUGAUGUGUCUGCAGCGCCCAGCUCAAUGCCUGGCACACAGUGGGCACCCAUUAAAACUGUGUGGAACUAGAGAGCAAAGUGGACCCUGAACAGAAGCAGGCCCUCUCCUCCCAGCUCCAGAGGGAUGGCCACAUCCUCAGAGAAGGCAGAAGGACCCUCUGGCCUCCCCAGGUCACUUGCACGAGACACCACAGGGCAAGUUCAGUUGGUGACACCUAACGGGCAGAAAUGACUAGGGUAAGGAACAGGGCUCCAGAAUCGGUCUCUUGCAGGAUGGACCCACUCAGCUCCACUCCAGUGUUCAAGCGCUCUUUCCAAGGGCAGCACUCCUAGACUCUGGCCUGUUCAGUUUGUGUCAAGUGCACGCUUCACCUCUGAUCAUCUCACAACAGCCGCAGGAGGUAGGCUCCAUCCCUACUGCCGUUUUUAGCAGAUGACCGAAAGCUGGUGCUACUGGAGGUCCUCCCCCGGGGGUCAGUACUGUCUGAAACUGAACCCAAGUCCAGCGACUCCACAGCUAAACUUUGUUCCUACUUUGGAACCCAAGAGGUGUUUCAAAUCCCUCUCUCCUCACCCCCACGUCCUGGGGAGGACAAGGUUCCCUAUUCUGGCGUUCAUUUUUCUUCCCUAAAGUAACCCAUGAGCCUCUGGUUUCCAGGAGAAUACUGGUACAAGUCCUAUCGCUCUCCUCCGCGGACCACGGAACUGCUCAGGAGUUCCACCUAUCAGCAUUGAAACUACAUUUCCCAGAAUGCCGUUCCUGUCGGGAAAGAGAACAAAAUACCCUAUGUGAGGCUCUGUGUCUCCUAUUUUGGGGUCGGAAAAUUUGGUCACUAUCUUGGACAAAGAUUGGCAUGCCCAUAGGCUAAUUCUUUUGGCCCCAGGCAGCUAUGAAUUUCCCAGGCCUCAACGAUGGGGGAGGGGUGGGCUCUUGCAGCCAGCAAAACCUUCAAUUAGAGGAACCUGGCGUGGGGCUUGACCCCUGCACAGUAGGUAUGUUUUCUCUCCGCAAGAGCCCUCGCCACCACUACCACCGCUUCCCUCUCAUCACUUCCCUUCCUUUUCCCUUCUUCCAGAUUCUUCUCUUAAUUGCACCACUGUGCCACUCCCUUGUUCCCACCCCCUCCCCCUGCCCACACCCACGGCUUUAACCGUUUCCUAUAAAAUCCAGCCCACCAGACUGAGGUUUUCUUCGACCCAAAUGUUAUUUUCAGAAGGAGCCAUUGAGGUUGGGGAGUAAUUGCAGCGUUGGGCCUCUGUGAGCCAAGCUGAAAAUAAUCAGCGAGGCAGAUGGGGCGGGAAGAGAGCGCAGUGCCCUUCCACCAAAGAGCCAGAGAAACCCAGCAGAGUGAGUCAGAGGGAGGCAAGCGCCAGGCUGGGCCUGCCUGGCUUAUGGCUGGGAGUUCAGUUAAGGGGAAACCGCCCAAGGUGUUGGGGCCUUUCACUGAAGCCCAGUCCAAGGUGGUUCCUGGCCGCACAUCACAAGUCCAUAUUUCUUGUGACAGCCGCUAAACUUCUCUGCUCUUACUCAGUUGGGCCAUAGCAGCCAGUAGGCCACAUUGGAACUUGACCUUGCCAGCUGGCUCCCUUGCCUUUGCAGCAGGGUUUCUCAGCUUCAGCACUAUUGACAAGUUGGGCUGGGUAGUUUUUUGUUGUGGGAAGCUGCCCCGCUUACCGUGGGAUGUUUAGCAGCACCCCUGGUCUCUACCCUCUUGAUGCCAGUAGCCCACGCACAUACACACACCCACUCCGUGGUGAUAGUCAAAAAAUGUUGGGCUGGGCUGGUAGCUCAGUGGUAGAGUGCUUGCCUAGCAUGAGUGAGGCACUGGAUUUGAUGGUCAGCACUGCAUAUAAAUAAAGUUUCAUCAACAACUAAAAAAUUAAAAAAAAAAAAAAUGUCUCAGACCUCCCAGCUGGGAAAGUCACACCUGGUUGAGAGCCAAUAGCCACAGAAGGGUCACAUCAUCUAUCCCCAUGGUGGCCUCACAGGCUUCCCUCACAUCUGAGUGGACCCAGAUCCAAAGUAUUGACCAAAUGUUAUUGCCAGUGGCAGUUGAUGGAUGCCAAGACAAGUGCCCACCAGGUACCAGGUACUGUACUCAGAAUUAGUAACAAAGUAGAGAAUGAGGCAGAUGUGGCUCCUGUCCUCAUGGAAAUGACUGGCUUGUUGGGUAAGUCAGGCAUUCAAGGAAAGGAAAGGUACGGGCUACAGAAUAUAAAAGAAUUUCUGACCCAGAUUAGGGAUUCAAAAAAGGCUCUUGGAAGCCAGGUGUGGUGGUUCAGGCCUUUCAUUCAACAACUCAGGAGGCUAAAGAAGGAGGAUUUCAAGUUCAAGGCCGGCCUCAGCCACUUAGCAAGGCCCUAAGCAACUUAGUGAGAUUCUGUCUCAAAAGUCUGGGGAUGUAACUCAGUGUUUACGUGCCUGGAGGUUCAAUCCACUGUAACAAAAAAAAAAAAAAAAAAGACUGUUGGAGGAAAUGAGGAAUAAGUCAAUUGGAUACUCAUGGAUGGGGGGAGUGUUCUGCAGACCAGGGACAGUGCUCAGACACCUUGAAUUAAGACUGCCAUAUUUGGGCUGGGGAGAUAGCUCAGCUGGUAGAGUGCUUGCCUCACAAGCACAAGGUCCUGAGUUCGAUCCCCAGUACCGCAAAAAAAAAAAAAAAAAAAAAAAAAAAAAAAAAAAAAAAAAAAAAAGACUGCCAUAUUUUAAGUGACACAGAAAAGUUUGUCAUGGACCAGGCUUAGGACAGGGGAGAAGCAUUUUCUCCCCUCACCCUCAAAACUUGCAUUUCCUGUCCUCCUCCUCCAGGUUCCUAGCACAGUAUGUAAACUUAAGAUCAUAUUUAACCAUAUUUAAACCACCAAUCCCCUCGUCCUCACUCAACCCUCCUCUGUCAACCAGUUACCAAGUUCUGUUCUCCUACCACGAAAUCUCUGUGCAAACUAUCUCCUGGUCUUCGUUCCCACCACCAAAACCCUGAUCUGAUGCAGGCUGUCUUCAUUACUCAACCAAAUUGGAGAAAUAGCUUCCGAACGAGUCAUUCUCCAGAGCCUACCUCAGAGAAAGACAUACAUCUAAUUGUGUCUCCCUUGGCUUAAAAAUCCCGGGUGGCUUCCAGAGGUCCAUCAACCUGCAUCCUGCCCUUCAUUAACCAAGCCCCACCCCCCUCACUAUACCAGACCACCAGCCACCCCUGUGGGCGUCCACACCUCCAUCCCUCUGCUGUUCUCUGUCUGAAGUGCUCUUCCCAACCAAAACCAUUUGGGAAAAACCCACAUGUCCCUUAAGACCCAGGCAAAAUGAACUCAUCAUUCUCUUGUUCCUCUGCUUCUGUUUUUCCUCAGUCCUGGGGAUUGAACCCACCAGUGCUCUACCACUGAGCUAUAUCCCCAGCCCUUUUUAUUUUUUGAGAUGGGGUUUCAUUAAGUCACCAAGUCUGGCCUCAAACUUGUGAUCUUCUUGCCUCAUCCUUCCAGGUAGCUGGGGUUACAGGUGCAUGCCAACUGCACCCAUCCCUCCUGUCUCUAAAUGCCCAUUCUUAAUUCUUCCCAUUGCUUUAUUUGGACUUUUAAUAACACUGCUAGUUUAUCAAUUGCCACAUGGACCCACAAUUAUCUGCUUCAAUCUGUCAGUCCCCUUAGAGUCUGAGGACCUCAUGGGCAGGUUGAUGAAGUAGACCCUGCUACUCCAUUCUCCCCUUCCAACUUUCUAAGAGAAGCCAAGGAAACACAAGGCACAGGGUAUAAUUAAAAGUACCAGCUAAACUGUUAUAACUAGCCAAUCCAGACUACAGAGACUGUGGAAGCCCAUGGGUCUCAGUGGGACCUGACCCCUUGUUAGGCCCCAGGGAUGGGCCUACCACCCUUCCCAAGAAUUGAUUCUGAUCCUAAAUUAGUGUGCAGCAAAGAUGUUCCUGGUUGACUAAUAUCCACUCUCCUUUAAGAAUGGAACUGAUUUUCCACUGAGCCAAUGGCUGCCUCACUGAAGACUACAUUUCCCAGCCUCCCUUGUAGUUGGAUGUGGCUGUGAGUCUAAGUUCUCACCAAUAGACAAUGAGCAGAAAUGACUACCAAUUUAUAAGCUGUGCCCUCAAAGGAAUGUGCAUGUGCUCUUCUAAUCUUCUCCUGCCCCUUUCUCUCUGACUGGGAGAUGACAGAAAUUGAAGCAGACUCCUUGCAUCUAGAGAAAGGAACCACAUUUGAAGGAUGGCCAAGCCCUCCCAUCGUCUUG